rnacentral:misc_RNA from 1 species
UAACUAUUGAAUACAGAAAAAUAUGCCCACUCAGGACUCCGUCAAUGAGGACAAUUUUUUUGACCAGACUUCCUGUUGCAUCUAACGAUAUUGUUGCUCCACCUUUUUCGAUCCGACAAUAAUCUUUAUAGGCGUGCAUUCCAGCUGGUGUAAAGUAAAAUGUAAAGAAAGGGUUCAUACCCGUCCAAGUGAUUAUGCCUGCGAACUCUGAAGUUAUCGACAAGUUUGAAAUGGUCCGGACGACAUCAUUUCCAUCAUCUGGUCGUAUAUCAAGAUCUCUAUUAAUUUUUUCUUUCUUUGCAUUCCGUAGAACAGGGCUUUUGGGUAUAAAGGGAGGCACUGGGUCACCAUGAUCCAUGUACAAUCGAGCUUGUUCUCGUUGCCAGAUUUUACACCCUUUUGCUUCCAAUGCCUGUUGUACCUCCAGUCGACGCUCUCCAUUCAAAUUUGUCGUAACUUGUUCAUGAAACGCGUUUCGUACCUCGCGCGUUUCCACUUUUAGACGUAGGCCUUUCUCACUCACUUGUUUCUCGCCAGAAGCGGUGAUUUUAUUUCCACAGAUUUUACUUAUACACCGGCCAAGAAUCUUUAUUUUAAACGUGGUUCCGUUAUUGAUCAGGGUUACUUCAGCCCGUUUAAGUGAAAGCGCACAGGGUAACUUGUGCUGUUGCCACAGCGCUAAUCUAAACAUGUUGCCCCACACUUUUUUCUUUAGGUAGAACCUUUGUUUUUUUCCACGUCGCUCAGUCGGUUUAAAGGCAUCCCACUCGUUUUCUGUUAAUACUAAUUCGAGUUCAAUUAAUUCGUCCGAACUAGUACUGGGAUUAUUUAAAUCAACGGGCGACCAUGAGUCCUCAUCAUUCUUCUCGGUAUCUUCAUCUGAAUGCGAAGAGUAGGAUUCUAUACAGUCAUUGUUUUCUUUAAUUACGCAGAUAUUCAAUGCAAAUCGAGCUUUGCUGAGGAUUCUACGUCGAUCUUCUCUGACAUUUAUAUAUACAUUGAGAGACGACCAUGCUCCAUUGGUUUGCUGACUCAUUUUUUUCCAUACUUCUGAUGAAUAUUUUGGAAGCUUCUCAGUUGUAAAAUGUAUCGCAAAAGCUUUCACCAAGUUGAUUGCAUCUUCUUCGGAAACUCUCGCUUUACCAGGCAUUUUGCAAAUAAUCCAGUGGCACAAUCUAAACUAGCAUCAUCGUACUCAUAGUGGCUCAGUGGAUAUGACACGGCCUUCAAGAUUAUAAUGUAAUACAUUCUUUGACGACAUUCGAGAGUCCACGAGGAGCUUUUUUGAAUGUGAAAAAAAUUCGACAAUAGUAACCGAUUCCGAUGUUCAUCAGACAAUAACCGAAACAUCUAGAUAAAAAACGAAUGUGUGGAAAAUAGAGGGCGUGCGAGUCACCUAAAUAUUACGAUGUAUCGUUGUGUUUAUUGUUUCGUCCCGGUGGCCUUAUCAUGGGCCCCAAGCCAUCUCUGUCUAAAAAAUUUCAACUUUCUUCACGUGGACGAAUACAGCUUGGUAACCGGUCAUGAAGCUCCGCAUAACAACAAUGAAGAGGCGGUCUGCGUAAGUGCUGAGCUUCAGGUCGAUAAACAUUGGACCACAGUUGUUACAUAUAUGGAAAUGAACACAGACAUUCUAACUGACCAGGCGGUUGAUGGACCCUUCAACAGAUCUUGUGCAAAAAACAAUCAAAGGAUGGGUGUCAAAGACUGUAUCGAAGUAUGCAGUUUUGAAAAGAGCAACAGUACGAAUUUCAUUGACAGAAAUGGAUCUUAUCUUCUCUGACCCCGAGAAACGCUUACUACACUUAAUAGGGCUUAUCCCAGAAUAUGUAAUGUCAAUGCCGGAAUGAUUGUAUAUGAAUAUUAUAAUAUCGAUGUAAAAUUUACAGUUGGUCACAUUACUUGAAAAUUUUCUAUAAAUAAAAUAAUUUUUGCAUCAGUCACCCCUAAUACUUUUGUAUGUAAAAUAAAUUAUAUAUAGAAUUUA